UGGCUGGAUAUCUCUUUGUGACAGCAGAAGUGACAUCACCAACAAGGCACUUCUGCCUAGUAACACAGCAGUACAUUUGCUGGAUUUGUGGACAAAUCCAGCCCAAUUCAGAAACACCUGAAAGCUGAGGAAAUCCCAUUUUCCUUGUGCAAGAUUAAAACUGAAUGUUGCAGUUGAAAGAGCCAUCUUGAAUCCCAGUCUGGAAGAAAGAACUAGAAACAGGAUUGCCACCCUCCUUUAUCUCCAGGGGAAAGACCUGCUGUUUUCCAGCUCUGGAAUUGAAGUGUCAGCCCCUGAUGCCUUGAUUUAUCCUGCUUGAGAUGGGCGGAGCUGGAUUUCACUAAUUAAAGAACUUAUUAGAAGAGUCCACAACAGCUGCUUGGCACAGGAAAUACCACAGGUGUGAAUUUCACGGACACUUGAAGAAAAGCAGUUACAGCUUCCAAGUACAGCAAUGCUGAGCAGAGAGGGGGGAAAUGUUAGCAUUUCUAAGAAGCACUGCUUUUCAAAGGCAGAGGCAGAAAUGACAAGGGAGGAAGAUCAUUUCUGUCUUGAAAAAUGAAAUGAAUGAAGGUAGAUGGCAUGCUUUAGAAACCAGCACCCAGGAGAAAAAAGGCUGACACAAUAAAAAUGGUGAGACAAGAAUCCAUUUGAAUAAAAUGAGACAGAUAAAG